GGCAGUUUACAUCACAUCAUGAAGUAUAACUUGGCAUCUAGAAGUCAGAGGGAACAACGUUCAAAUCCUAAGUCCUCUACUUAUGAGCUGUGUGACACUGGAUGACUUCACUAACAUCUCUCUACUUCAGUUUUACCGUAGAAAAAAUGGGAGCUAUAACAGUACCUACCUGAAAAGGCUGUGGAGAAGAUGAAAUGACAAAGUGAGUGUAAAGUGGCUGGGGUAGCACCUGGCAGAGUAAGAAAGCUGCUACAAAUAGUUGUGGAAUUACUACCUACAUUGACUUUUUUCAGAACUUCCAGGAACUAAUCUUGAAACAGACCAAGCACAGAGAGCCAGCUACAGAAGUCCAGAGAUUACCUCAAGGCAGUUAGUCAACAACCCAGCCAUUGUUCAGAUGACAGCAUCCUACACUCCAGGUGGACCAUGGCUCGAGAUAACCACCAGAACAAGACACUCCCACCUUGUACUCAGCAGCCUGCCUGCCUGCCUCCCAUUGCAAGUUCCCCUUUUUAAGCUCUCCUCCCCAGCCUAAAGUGUGAAGUGGUUGCUUUGGAAGAGAAUCUGGCCGUUUCUCGAUUACUAGUGUUGGUUAAUAAAGUCACUUUCUUUCUACUACACCUCACUGUUGUCACUGGACUCUGUAAGUGCUACCAUUGAGAGAGGUUUUGAAGACUUUAGAAGGAUCAGAGUGACCAUAUGCAAUUUCCUGAUUAAAAACAA
rnacentral:lncRNA from 10 species